GCGACUUGUAUUGCAGUAAUCUGAUGCUCACCUAUGACGCGCAGUGCACAUUGCCCGCAACAAUAAUAAAGGUAAGUAUUUGUUCUACUCAACUCCAUCCAAUUAUUGCGGCACGCUGCAGUGCUUGUAAGACACCUGUUGAUGCUCUUAUAUUUGAUGCACAUGCUGUCUUCUGACUUAUAUUGAAAAAUAGGUUUUCGAGAGUGACAGAGACGAGUUAAGUCAUCGUACUGGACACAUUGUUGUAUGACUCUUGCCGACAUUGCUAAGUGAGUAUCUUUGCGUAAAUUUAUUGCGAUGUAAUCUGAUACCGGCACGACGACGACUGUGGCGUUUCCAUGUUGUUGUGGUAUUGAUAUCAAUUGAUAUAAGUCAUAACUCUCCCUGCUGACAAGUGGUAUUCUGAUUUCAAAUAUAAGGUACUGUUGUGUUACCCUUGCUUUGACCUUCAGAAGAUGAUAAAUUUUGGGUAGUUCCGACUGUAUGUUUUACAUCGGUAAGGAUAGCUCUCGCGAUAAUUGUCCGGAAAUAAUGCGGAGUUGAUCUUGUAAUUGCUUCGGCGAUAGUAAAUGGACAUUGAAUAUUCCAUGAUGGAUAUCUGUUAUCGUGUCGAUUAUUGUAUCUUGUAUCGAUUUUAGCUUCGCGAGCAUAUUUGUAGCUACGAUUGUGGAGAGUGCUAGCUCGUUCAUCACUUCUUGUUCCUGCAGAUUUUUGUUCAAAAUGUUAGUGACCUUCGUUAAAUUGUUUAAAUGCUGAUUAAUGACUUUGUGUUGCCGAUUGAUCGAUUCCUCAGUUCUUUUGAGUAAAUUAUAUUCCGCUUCUACAACUGAGGUCUGAUUUUUCCACAGGAGUCCUAAGUGUUCUUCAUUUCUUUUUAAAGAGAAAUAUCCUGCUUGUAUUGAUCGGCGAAACGUUGAUCCAAAACUCCAAAUAAACUGUUAGCAACAUAGCCCACACCGUCGAUGAGGCCUCGUCUCUUCCGUGUGCGUUCUUCGACAUGCUGAUUCAUUAACAUUUCGUUGUAGUACUUUAGUUCGUCAUGAGCAUGACGAAGUUGUAGUAUGACUGUUUGUGCCAGUUGAUUGAACUGGCAACUGUUGGGAUGUUCCGGGAACUGAUACUAGUGUUGCUGGUUUUAAAACCGGUGUUGAUGGCCUGUCAUCUUUUGGCUGAUAAUUGGUUAUUACAGCACGGAUAUGUUCGUAUUUGUCUUUAAAUAUGGUGUACUGGUUGCUAGUAUAGUACGAAUGAGAUUUGAUGUAUUCUAUGCUUAAUAGCUUUUUAUGAUUAAACUGAAAUUCCUGCCAGUAUUGGUUAAGCGUCUCCAGCCUUCGCCUGAGGUAGUCGGAAGUCUUACGGUCGGAACUAUCUUUUUUGAAAUUUGUAUAAAGCUGCUCUAUUGCCUCGAGCAGUUGUUGUUGAGUGUAUAGGAUAUCUUCCAUGUUUGUAUUUGAAUUACAAAUGAGACGAUCUUACUUGAACUGGACCGCUGGUUGAGGCUGAAUAAUGCUGCAUCCGGCUCGAAGGACCAUAAAGGUAUGUACGGUUUGUCCGCACAACCCUCUGCUGUGAUAAUGAUAACAACUCCAAUGCUGAUUAAUUGUUUAUUGAUACGAGUACGCUGAUUAUGAUUAUUUAUAUGAUAACAAUGACAUUAUGUGAGUACGCGACGCCUUGCUGAUGGCGGUACACGAACUGACUCGAAAAAUGAAUGACUGACGUAAAAUGCAUCGGUCUGCAAUAUGAUGUGUGCGCUGGCCCUGUACGAUACAUGACUCGUACAAUAACUAGUAUUAAUUCGACUCCCAUGAUGAAUUCAAUUAUUACCAGUUUUAAAUUUAAAUCUAAACUUAAAAAUACUUUAGUAACAAUAAUAAUGAUAUUGAAGAUUUAGAAAAAAUUAAACUAAAAAGAAAUAAAAAAAUUCUUAAAUUUUUCGUAAAGUGGUUUAGGUUACAGGAAAUUAUUCAAGGAACCUCUUAAUAAUUCAUUAGUCUAGUAAAAAAAUUAAAAUAAAUAUGAAGGGAAGAGAACUAGUGUUUUUACUCGGCAAAAAAACGUAACAGUUAACCGACAAUUGUAUAGCAUUGAAAAUAAAACCACAACAAGAAAUAAUUCAAGAAUGUAUGAUAAUCCUACAACAGACGGGAUACUUCAGUUGGAAAAAGAUAACGUUAAGCUUGCGUGUCUACACACCAGAGUGCGCGGCAUUUUUUUUACAUACCCUGUAGAUAGAAUAGAGGGAUUACUAGGUCUACAAAAUAAAAGGUUUACUAGGUCUACAACAUGCUUCCAGAUAUUACUAUCUGUGUUAUUAAAUUAUUACAACAACAACCAUGGUCUGUAAAGCCUGGCAAGGGCUUAUACAUACAUAGAUACAGUUAGCGACAUCGUAAAUCACUCCCGUUCACAGUUAUAUAUAAUUUUUCAGCUGAGAUCUCUAUAAAAAUUAUUUCUACUAUGACAAAUAAUUUUAAAUAAUAUUCUUUUUAUAUUAAAAAUAUUCCUAUAAGAAUUUUUUGACGAUAAAAUAAAAAUUUGGCAAAUUAAUGUGACUACCUACCUGGAUUAUCGAUCGUGUGAUUAAUGACUAUAAUUCAUUGUGUCGAUAUCUUUUCGAGAAAUAUAAGUAUAUACUUAUAUAACAUAUAUAUAUAACAUAUAACAUAUAUAAGUAUAUAACAUAUAUAUGUUAUUAAGAAUAAUAAGUAUUUUCACACAAAUAAAAAUGAAAUAAAGUCAAUUAUGAAUAGAUUUUGCAGGACACCUGUAUUAAACAGUAUAAAUUAUUAUCAUCAGAUGAUUUUACAUAGGAGAAUUACGAUUAGACUUUUUUUUCAAUGUCACUCAUGAAGGUCACUAAUCGAGAAUUUCGCGUGAAAAUGAAUAAGACAUGUAUUUUUAAUCCUGAUACAGCUAAGAUCACAAUUGCACUUUCAUUUCGUCCAGGUAAAACUUCCAAAAAAAGAUGCUGGAAAAACCAUGAUUUUGUCGAAUUCUCGUUCGACUGGCAAUAUACAACUCCAUUUGAUGUAGUAUGGACUAAAUGUCUAUAUUUUGAUACCAUAGAUUUGAAUUCGUUGAAUUAUUGAAUUUCAUCAAGAACUACUGCCUACCAUCCCCAAAGUAUGGUAUGGUAAAGAGAUGGCACAGAUUUUUGAAAGCCGCUCUUAUGGCUAGAAUAAUAUUAUUAUUAUUAUUAUUAUGGCUACAUUAGACACGAAGGCUUGGGUCGAAGAAUUACCCACAGCAUUGUUAGGACUUUAGAGUAGCACCGCACACCGAUACUAGUGUAAGUGCCGCCGAAUUAACGUAUGAACAGACCUUAAGGCUACGUAGAUAUUUUUAUGAAAAUAGCAGAAAGAUAUCCAAUUAUUGUCAAUAUGUAGAACACCUUCGCACUUUGAUCAGUAAUUUGAAACCUAAGUAGCACAUAAGGAUAGUCGCACAUUAUUUGUAUAUCACGAGUAACUGUAGCCAUGUUUACGCAAUGAUGCCGUUAAGAAGCCAUUGCAAACGCCCUAUGACGGCCCCUACUAAGUUUUAGAAAGGAAUAAUAAAGUAUAUACAGUACAACAUCCGAAUUGCGUAAUUAAAAUAUCUGUAGAUAGGUUAAAACCAGCAUUUUAUUCUGAAAUCUGGACUGAUAAUAAUAAAAAGUGUAUAAAUAACGAAAAUAUAGCCAUAAAAGAUAAAAUAAACUUUCACUUCAAGUCACCAAAGCAGCAGAAAGCGAUAAUAAGCCGCUCGCUUAUGCUACGCGUUCCAGCCUUAAUAGUAGAAAGCCUGUAAGCUUCAAUAUAUAAAAUCAUGUACAGUAGUAAUACCUAAAUCAUUUACAAGUCAUUUUUCAUUUUAAUAAUAAUAUUUAUUUCAACUAUUUAAUUAUACCAUUUUUAUACUCGUACUGGUAAAAUGGGUAAAACUAUAUCGAAAAAGGAGAUCAUCGUUGCCCAGAGUGGAGCAAACGCAAGCCUUUAAGGUGCCACCUGGCAUAAUUAUUUUAGUUGGUUCAUAGUCGGAAUUUUAGUAAUGGGCAUAAUUGUAUACUUCACAUGCCGGCGAUGUACCCUUCAAGUGAAGAAAUGGUUAAAUAGGCAUGUGCAAAAUAUCCAUGCACAGGCUAUAGAGACCAUGCAAUGGGCGAAAAGAAGCACGCGUAGAAGCAGACCAGGAACCAGCGCCACGAAAGCCACUACUAAAAUUGACAUCAUUUAAAUAGUACGCAAACGCAUUUUCAAGUUUUAAGGCAUUCAGAACAUUUCGACUAAACCUUUUGCGCACAUGUACUGGAGAACUAGGGGCUAUAUAAAUUGUCAGAGCCUUUCUAUAAGCGCAAUUAAAUUCAGACAUAAUUUCUCUAAGCCCUUUUUCUUUCAAAACUGCAGGACGGCCUUUAUACGUGGCCUUUUCCAGUUUACGCAGCUAAAUGAAGUGGUUUCACAAUUAUUAUGUUUACGUCCAAACUUUGGACAAAUUUCUUUAUUUGUGAGACAUCUCUUUGUAGGGUGUCCUAAUUUCCAGCACAACCCGCACUGGGAUACUGGGAAGAUGUGUUAGUCCACGAGGAUUCUUAGCCGUCCUAUAGAAACAUAAGCAGGUAUGAACGCACCCUCAAAAAAUAACCGCACCGACUCACUAGGUACCCAUCCGUCGCCCGAGCUACCGCGCCAGUUGAGGUGGAAUAUGGGUACCAGUUCAGCAGGCUUAGGGCACGAUAUUGUGUCAAAUAUCUCUUUAUCGGAUAUAUCCAAGUCUAUGUCGCGAACAACGCCAUACGAUAAAUUCUUCUCCAUAGCUCUUUGUACACGCCAGCCUUUAUCUGCUAUCUUUGCACCUUCUUUCGAUCCUCUCUGCGCUCAGUGGGUUCUGUACAUCGAUACGUACUUUAUAUGGGUUAACAUAUUUUACUCGGUCCACAUCGGUAAUAUUCAUCUCGCAAAACAUUUUCGCUAAAGAAAAUUGUUUCGGCAGCGGCUCACUAACAGUUAAGUAUAUCUCUUUUCUCAAGUUCCGGUUUAUGCUUCUUCUGCUUCGAUUUAAUCACUGUCCAUUCAUUGUCACUGUUAACAUCUUUUCUCUUCUCUGGUCUUAACCAAUCCUCCAAGUGUUUUAAUAAUUGUGCCUAUUGUAAUUUUACCAAUGGCUCCACCUAUUAACUCCAGUGUGUGGUCCUAUUUCGUAAACACUGGUAUUGGAGGAAAAUGCAAAAUAUGUCAUUGUAUCGUAAAAAUAAAAGGUAACGUUCGACGAGUAAAUUAACCCAUAGACACAUCCCACUGAGUUUCUCGCCGGAUCUUCUUAGUGGGUCGCGUUUCCGAUCCGGUGGUAGAUUCUACGAACCAAGAAGCGAAAGACCAACGUUUUUUUCCCAAUUUUUUUUUAGUAAAUUUACUCUGCUCUACCUUUGGUUGACUGGUAUAAAAUGCCUUAGGCGUUAAGUCCGCCAAUGUAAAUUUUACAUGAAGUGUAAUAAAUAAAUUAGUAAAUUUCAUUAAAGCUUUAUUUGUUGAAAUUAUUGCAAAAUAUUUUUAUUUGAUUUUUGAAAUUCUAAAUUCUAAAUUUGAAUCGAUUUUUAGGCGAUCGAUUCAACAGAAUACGAUCAGAUCCAAGAAUCGAUUCAGAGACCUACGAUCCAUUACGAUGCAAAAAACAGUGUGAAUUAGCCAGCGUCAAAUAAGAUUUUUAUAAUUUUAUAUUGUGGUUGGGUUGUAGACAUUACUGGCUGAGGAAGUAUACGAGCUGGUGCUAGUUGGGCUGGGGGGAUAUUAUUUGUUGGGAAAUUAUACGAGGUUAUUGUGGUUGAGGAAGAAUCUGUGUUGCAGCAGUAGAAUUAUAAUUAUUAUGGUUACUAGAAGAUUAGGUAUAAUAUUUUAGGAUGUUCAAAAUCGCAAUACGUGCAUAAAUGUUUUGAUCGGGUGGAAUCAACUUUAAUAAUGGAACCAAAGAUAACGCGAAAUAAUUGUUUGGGUCUGAUAGUGUGUGGCUGUCUUGGUGGCUGUUUUUAUCUCUUAAUAUUUCUAAUAAAGAUUCUUCGUAACUUUUAUUCUUCUUCUUUUCUUGUUUUGAUCGUGUUAUUGCUGGUGUAAAAGAAUCGCUCUCACUAAUUGCUUCUUCGUCAAGCGAUGUCACGUUACUUGAGGUUUCUCUCUCUCUGGCUCCAUAGAAGGUACCAAACACAGUAUCUUAUCUAAGUAUACGUAUCUAGUUAUUUUAACUAUAAAAAAUAUUUCUUUAUGGUUUUGAUGGCAUGGGUAGACGCAGAUUGUAAAUUCAUAUACAUUGAUGUCGGAUCACAAAAAGCGCAAGCGACUCGACGAUUUAAAAAAAAUUGAAUACAGGCAGAAUGCAUCAAGAGAGUUUAUUAAAUAUUCCGAUUGGACGAACUCUAUCUACCUAAUGAUGAAAAUGGAAAAAUAAUGCUUUUCACAUUGUAGGUGAUGAAGCCUAUGGUCUGUUGAAAAAUAUCUUACAACCGUUUUUUAAGAGAGGACUUACAGUUGCUAAAAGAAUCUUUAAUUAUCGACAAACAAGAGCACGUCGAAUGGUGGAAUGCACUUUAAUAAAUGGAGAAUUCUUCACAGACCUAUCGAUGUUAACAUAGAAUUUUGUGAUAAAAUUGUAAUGGCUUGCUAUAUAUUACAUAACUAUGUACACGUUAGAGAUGGUAUUCAAUUGAAAGAUACCGCGUACGAAUGUACGCUCAGCAAUUCGUCUACACCUCAGUGGCAUCGAAACAUUUCCUGUGUCAAUAUAAGAAAUUAUUUUACUUCUUAUUUUAUGGAGGAUCCGUACCGUGGCAAUAUGAAAAAAUAUAACUAAACAUGUAACUUAUGAUAAUAAUAGUCAUAAUUCACAAGUGUACACGCAAUAAUUCAUUUAAAUUUCAAUCUUAUGUCAAUGUAGGUAAAUAAUAAUUCCGCCCUAAUUUUAUCUAAUAAUUAUAAAUAAGUAACGUAGUAAAGUGUUUCACAUUAAGUUAUGCACCUACCACAGGAUUCUCUACACCACCCUUGGUUGACUGGUAGAGAAUGCCUCAAGCAUUAAGUCCGCCAUUGUACUUAUGUGCAUUAAGUUGAAUAAAUAAAGUAUAAUAAACGCUAACACAAUAACCUGCAUGUUCUUUUUGAUCCUGUGAAAAACUUCUUGUUGGAAACAAUACUAUUUCAUCCCAUGGCCUUCUUUUUAAAAUUAUAUCGGAAUAUUGCUUUAAAUUGUUUGCAUAUAACGCAGGCGUCUUUUCUACCUCCUCUAUUAAUAAUUCAAUGUCAAUGUCUUCCUCUUGCAAAGAAGACAACAUCUUUAAAAACAAAACAUAACCACACUUUUUUAAAUAGCAAACGCGGAAAAUGUUGUUUGAUAUAUUAACGUUUAUGAAGACGGAAGCUGAGGAAGGCCUUUAGUAUACCUUGAAGUCAGCCCAAAAGCAGACUGCAGUCGCUACCGGUGUGUCUGAGACGAAUUGCAACGACUGUAAAUGACCCCAGCUCGAGUUUGAUAGCGGUUUUUUGUACACCCGGAAAGAAAAGGGCAGGGAAAAAAGGGUGACCGGAAUCGACAACUUUGAUCAAGGUGUUAUCAAAAGAUGUAUACAUAAAAACGGAAAUAUCACAAAAAAAGAAUUGCCGACUAUAGCACAACUUUACAAAAAAAAUAAUUAAGACGUACGUUUUGAAGGGUCUGCAACAAGUUUGAGGAGAAUUUUAAAAGAUUUAGGUUUUAAAUGGAAGAAGACCGAAGAAAGGUUUUAAUUGAGCACACAAAUAUUCGCCUAAAGCGAAUUGAAUAUUUAAAGAAAAUAUCAAAAUAUCACGCGGAAGGAAGACCUAUAAUUUACCUAUAAUUUAUACAGACGAGUCGUAUGUCGAUUCGUCACAUACUACCUGCGCCCCAUUUGCGCGGGGACCUCGUAGGAGGUACGGCCCUCUACCCGAAAAAAAAAGGUGACUACCACAGUAAUAUGAAUUACGAGAAUUAGGAAAAGUGAGUUCGCACACAAUUAAAUCCCCCCAUGUAGUGUAGUACAUAUAAGUAAUGUAAUUUGUAAUAAUAAAGGAGUAUUAAACAAACACUGACAAGACAGUUGUUUUUAUUUGAACUACAUUUGACCUAGAAACUCCCUUCAUGGCGACCUUGCCAGGAUACCCCACCAAAUUUAGUUGUGGUAAUAGAUAAUGCACCCUACCAUAAGCAUAAGGCAUAAGAAUGCAGCGCCGACAUCAAAUAGUAAGAUAUCCGUAGUUCAGUAUUUGUAAACGUUUUGAUACAGAUUAUUUUCUAUUGAUCUGUGUUAUCUGUGCGAAUGUAAACUGAUGUGUCUUGAGAGCUAAUAUAAUUCAUUGUGUCCUUUAAAGAGCUUAGCUUAGAGCUUUAAAUCUGAUUAGAGUUUUAUUGAAAUACUGUCAAAUUCCCAUAGGUUAUGCACAAGACAAUUACAUAUUUCAAUAAAAACUUUAAAUUAAGAGCAAGAUUAUAACCGGUAUAAAACUAACCUAUAAUGGAGGUUAUGAACACGAUGAAAAUUGAGAAGUUAUGGAAGAAAUUUCAAACAAUGGCAGUUCCAAGUGAAAUGCACAUUAAGAGCAAAAGGAUAAACAUAGAAAAGGCAAGACCAGCGGAAAUCAGUUCGCAAUCGUAGUGAAAUAAAGAUGAUGGCGUGGCCAAUGAAUUUGAACCAAAUAUCUCUUAUAGAAUAGUGCGAGACAGGUAAGCAAAUCAUGACAAAAUUAGAAGCCAUCUAUGAACAGAAAUCAGAAAAUAACAAAAUGUUGAUUUAUGAAAAAUUCCAUCAAUAUUCAUGCAGUACCAGUAAUACUUUGGCACAGCACGUGUCCAAGGUGGAAAGCAGCUGCGGGAGAUGGUGAGCAAAAUCAGGGCAUUGCAGUAAUGACUAAGAUUCUAAGUACAUUACCAUCAACAUACCGUUCACUUAGACAAGCAUGGUUGUCACUUGAUGAAAAAAGUCAAACGAUUCAAAAUCUCACUUCUCGUCUAGUAGAUGAAGAAGCCAGCCUUGCCAAUGAUGAAAGUAGUAGUGAGACAGCACUAGUAACAUCAGAGACAAUUCUUCAAAUCGUCAAAUGACAAGUCAUAGAAUUUUAUUCUACAACUGCAAUAAAAGAGCCCACUUUGCAAAAGAUUGCAGGAUGAUAAAAACAACGCAUAGUAAGAAACCCAACAGUAUGUUGACUUUCAACACUGUGUUGAAUAAACACGAGGAAGAGGCAUGGAUUCUUAAUAGUGGAGCGUCAGUACACAUUACUUUCAAGCGGGACUACUUCUGCUAGUUAAACGAAUCUCAAGACAACGAGUCUGUUAAAUUGGGUAACAAACAGAGCAUCAAAGUAUGUGCUAUAGGAACUAUACUGUUAGACAAAAAGGUUAAUGGUACAUGGGAGAGAUGUAAACUUGAGAAUGUUUUAUAUAUACCUGAUUUGCGAAGAAAUUUGUUUUCGGAAGAUACUGCCACUAGAAGAGGAUAUACUAUAAUGAAAAGUUGUGAAAAAGCAAUGGUUAUGAAAAAUAAUGUUGUUGUUAUGAAAGCAAAUCUAACAGAGAACUAGAUAGUCAAGUCGCGGGCCACGCGGAGUACGUUUUAAAAAAUAGAAAUUAUAUUUUAUGAACGUUUAUUCCGUACAAAAUCUUUUUUUUUUUUAUUGCCUUUGUAGGCAGACGAGCGUACGGCCCACCUGAUGGUAAGUGGUUACCGUCGCCCAUGGACUUCAGCAAUGCCAGGAGCAGAGCGAAGCCGCUGCCUACUGCUUAAUACUCUCCACAAGCCUCGUUUGAAGAAGGACAUGUCAUAGCGUUCGGGAAACACCGUGAAGGGGAGCUCAUUCCAUAGCCGGAUGAUACGUGGCAAAAAAGACCUCUGGAAACGCACUGUGGAUGACCGCAGUGGCUCCAGGUAGUAUGGAUGAACUCUACUCCGGUGGCGGGCGGUGCGAUGGUAAAAACAAGACGUUGGUAUCAUCUCGAACAAUUCCUCAGAGCACUCCCCAUGGAACAUGCGGUACAAAAUACAGAGGGACCCGAAGUCCCUCCGCAGACCCAGAGGCUCCAAGCGAUCCGUGAGUUCUUAAGUGAAAUCUGACUUAAGACUAACUUAUUACUAAUCUUAAUCUAACGGGAAGGGCAUCGGACCACCGGUCCAGCGGAUGCCGUCGUCUGCGAAUUCCACAAUUCAGCAGUUGAGUUCGCCGAAGAUCUGCCUUUGCAGACAUGCGUCAGCAGAGGUGCCCGACUUAACUCCUCCCUCCUUAAGAACGGAAUUCUCUAUUUCAGAAUUACGUACUGAAAUUUUACAGAAUUUCAGACGAUACUUAUAUACUAAGGCACAUAACAUGAAAGUUAUUAAAAUUACAUAGAUGCAAAGAGUCCAAACGCUAACACUUUUCACAUGGAUAAUUGCCUUUUCACUAUUUUCACAACCACUAACACUUUUCUUCAGGGCGAAUGAGAGGAUCUUCAAGUCUGUAAGAUCGACGUCUUCCAGGUGCACUGGUUCUGCAGUUUUUAUUUUACUCGUUGAAUCGAGUAGGGGUAAGUUGAGCAUCGGUGAUUUUGUAUAUUCUAUAUUUUCCACAUUCGUUUGACGCAUUUUCAGAGUUAUAUUUUGGACCUUAAUUUCACAGGGGUCAUCAAGGGUGAGUAUAUAGGCCUUGGAUUUUCUGUCGGGAUAUUUCUUCAGGACAGGUUUUGGUGAGUGAUGUCUCAUCUCUAGCGUAUAAAAUCCAUUGGUUUUGUUGUAGAAUCUGAAUUUUGAUGUCUUCUAUAAUUACUGGAAUUUGAAUGCAUGAUUUAACGUUUUCUACGUACAUCAUUAGAUCAGUUAUGCAGGGGUCUUGUAUGAAUUGCAGCAUCUCAUCGUUGAUGUAGAUGAAGCUGGCCUCGUCGAUUUUCUAGCAUGGCUGGGCAAGGAGUCUGAUCUUCAACCCUUUCGCUAAGAGUUAGGGAUAUUUUGGAAGGAUAAUUACUGUGGGAUUUUGAGAUACGGGCAAUGGUAUUAGCUUAUAAUAGAUAUAGUUUUCCUUUUCGAUCAAAGGUAUUUCCAAAAGGUAGGUAAUUUGGCUCUUCUUAAAAUAAGCCUUAAGUGUUAUCGUUUGCUCUAUCUUAACUAAGUUUUCUAAACUAGGGGUAUAAACUAAUUUAUCUUUCUUAUGAAUAUUUUCAAGUAAACUUAAUAAUUUGUUUGAAUCAAUAAUGGAUUGAUGUAAUAUUCCUAAUCUACUAAGUGCAAAACUAGUUUCUAUUUCACUUAGCUUAGCGUGAAUCGUCUGAAGGUUAUGGUAUAUUUUAUUGUAUGCGGAUAUGAUUUGAACUUCAAAGUGUUCAAUCCGUAAAUUUUCAGUAUAAUUUUGCCACAAUGUUGCAAUUUCCUUAUUCAAUCGAAUGAGGUUUCUAUUUAAGGUAAUGGUUGAAUUAGAUAAAAUUUGCACCAUUUCAGAGAUUAACGUUAAUUUUUUAUCAUUAGCGUCUUGAUCUGAUUUUAUUUCACUUAGGGUGGAUUCGACCAAACUUAAAUUUAUACUCGAGUAACUAUACGAGGAAUAACCUAUUCCAUGAUUUUAAUCUCGAGUAAAUCCAUAGUCGUUUUUCCACGUAUACUUGCGCUAGGAAUAACAAUACGCGAAUAGCAGAGUGAAUGGUGAACAAAAAUAAAAUCCGGCAAAUAAAUGUUGUUGUUUAACGGCAUAGUGUAAGAGCAUACAAAUCGUCAACUCGAUUUUGCCGUAUUUUAGUGUGAAAAAGUAGCUGUUGUGUAAGAUAUCCAGCUGUCAAACGUAUUAUUUUUAUUUUGAGGGAAUUAUCAAGUUUUGUCGUGUGGUUUUGUCUUUUUUCGUUUAAACGUUGCAUUAUACAAUUUCAGACUAUUAAUAAUAAUUUAGUGCAUUGCGUUGACUUGAAAUUAAAACAGAAUAAAUAUUUAUGAAAUGACAGAAAUCAGAUGUUGGACUGACUGACGCCAUUACUUUAUUCUAGGAAUAGCUCCGUUAUUCCGUGCGAAACGGCGGUAUAGUAACAAUUCCCGAAUAGGCCCACUAUUCUUAGAAUUGUAGAUGGUAAAACGUAAAAUUGAUUUACUCUCGAUUAACUGACGAGUUAUUCUAAGAAUAAGAUUUACUCUUGUUUGGUCGAAUCGACCCUUAAUUAAUUUAUUCAAAUUCAAAUUCAAAAUCAUUUAUUUCAACUUAGAUGUCAGUAUGACACACUUGUUGAAUGUCAAAAUACAAAUAACAAUGUUAACUCUACCACCGGUUCCAAAAAAAAGCCACAGUCCUGAGAAGAACCGGCGAAACAAACUCAGCGGGCUUUUUUGUUUUGUUUUUUCUCAAAUAUUUUCUUUUUUUUAAAUAAAUAGAAAUAUUCACAAUAAAAGAAAAAACAAGUCAAAAAAAAUACAAUUAAAAAAAUUAUAAUAAUAAUGAAAAAUGAAAAGGCCAGGAGCGAGCGCCUCAUUCCCACGUAGUGCCAUCUAGUAAAUAAUCCUUAACUUUAUAAUAUGCCUUGUUGCACAAACGUUCCUUAACAGUUUUCUUAAAUCUAUGAACAGGUAGUAAUUGAACGUUUAGUGGGAUCUUGUUGAAAAGCUGUACACCCAGCCCCCUAAAAGAGUUACUUAUUUUCUUAAUUCGAGCCGCCGGCAACGCAAGCCUAUGUUUGUUCCUAGUGUUCACAUUGUGCAAAUCGCAGACUCUGGGGAAUUCUUCAAUGUUUUUACGCACGUACAAUAAAUUUUCAAAAAUGUAUUGGGACGCUAAAGUUAGAAUUUUGAUUUCCUUAAACUUGUCCCUCAAGGAUUCCCUCGGGUGCAUAUUAUAAAUAGCACGAAUAGCCCUCUUCUGCAGGAUGAAAAUCGUUUCGACAUCGGCAGCAUUGCCCCAUAGCAAAAUGCCAUAAGACAUAACACUAUGAAAAUAACUAAAAUAAACCAGGCGUGCCGUAUCUUCAUUAAUAUACAUUCGUAUUUUUUUUACCGCAAACGCUGCAGAACUAAGCCUACUCGCUAACUUGCAUAUGUGAGGACCCCACUGCAGCUGAGAAUCAACUGUUAUACCAAGAAAAACUGUCGAAUCCACAAGCUCCAGUGUCUCUCCACUUACAGUAAUAUUAGUGUCAACUUGUCUAACAUUAGGUAUGGUAAAUUUUAUACAUUUUGUUUUUUUGUUAUUUAAUAACAGAUUAUUAACACUAAACCAAUGUACCACGCGCGAGAUAGCAUCAUCGUAUCGUAUUUUAUGCCAUCAUCGUGAUCCAGAUUUCCUGUGAUGAUUUUAAUUAAUGAUCCAAUUGGGUUAAUCAGUCCGCGUUUGAUUUUAAAGGUAGGAGUGAUUUGUUCGAAUUUGCUUACUGUUAGAUUUUGCAUAUAGUCUACUUGUUCUCUUACAUCUAUAAAAUUAUAAGUAAAUUUCUUAAUAAACUUAACACUAACUAAACUAUUUAGUUCCCUGAAGCAUUGAGUGUUAAGAUCUAAGUCUUCCCUAAUAGGUUUAAAGUCCAGUACUCUUGCUAUUAUCCACUUGUCUUUGCUGAAAACAGUAGUGCUUUCCCUGACGGGUAAAACUCCUGGAUUGUUAGUUAAUACCUGAAGUUGAAGGGCGUGGACUUGCAUCGUCAUGAUGGUCAUUAGGAGGACGCGGAGGUGCCUGUGAGGGGCGUUUAAUGUUUUUAAGUGGAACUUUUGUACUGCGUUCUUUUAUUUGAACGGGAACUGUGUUUCUGACUAUGUCAUCUGUAACUAUAGCUUUUUGGUAACGCGGCUUAUCUUUGCUAACUCUAAAAUUUGUGUUUUUGGAAAAUAUGGUGUCUCCUGGUUUAAUAUUAAAUUCUGUUUCUCCUGCUCUUUUAUCAUUUCGUUUUUCUUUCAGUUUUAUUGUUUGUUCCGAAAUAUGUUUGUAUUAAAAUUUAGUUCUUUUAUUAAUUGUUGUAUACCUAGUCAGGUCAUCAUAAAUUCCGUCACAUGUUUAAUGUAAAAUAAUUGAAACAAGUUUAUUCAUUAUGUAACCAUUCAUAUACCAAAAUGAACUUAACAAAACAUAGAUUCUUAUGACACUAAAGUUUAUUCAAAAUGACCUCCGUGAUUUUGAAUACAGGCCUUGAAUCUGCGCGGCCAGUCGUCUAUCGCAGCACGAACGAGGUCCAUGUCAAUAUCGGCGGCUGCCUUAAUCAAGGAUGUCUUGAGUGACUCCAAAUUGGGAUGAGGCUUUGAGCACGCCUUUUCCUCCAAGUGUUGCCAUAUCUUGUAAUCUAACGGAUUCAAAUCUGGACUGGAGGAGGGCCAGUCUUCGUGCCGGAUGAAGUCGAUUUCACGCGCCGCCAGCCAGUCUUGUGUGCUCUUCGCUCUAUGAGCUGGCGCCGAAUCUUGUUGGAAUACCCAGUGCCUGUUAUUGAACAUGGCAUGAGAAACAGGUUCUACAAGGUUCGUCAGGACUGUAUUUUGAUACACAACUGCAUUCGUUUUUACACCUUUCUCACAAAAAUGUACCUCUGUUAAGCCCCAAUAAGAAACUCCCAACCAUACCAUGAGCGAGGAUGGAAAAUGACACGCGGAAUACGGUUGCUCGCUUCUUCACUACUGUGUGCGUACACCUUAUCAUUUUGUUUGUUGUAGCUCUCUUCUACGGUAAAAAUUUUUUCAUCCGAAAAAAUAAUUUCCUGAUAUUUUUUUCCCGCGUACCGCUUUAACAAAGCGCGGCAUCUCUUCAGUCUCAGGUCCAUUAGACGAGCAUUCAAACGAUGUCCUGUUUUUUUUCGAUAUGCCCGAAGCCCUAAGUCUUCAUUUAACACCCUUUUCACCGUGGUUCUGCUUAACCCCAUCUGAAGGGCCAACAGUUUCUGCUUACGUUUGGGAUUUCUUUGAAUUCGCGCCUUCACAGCUUUUAUCACUGCUAAGUCCUAACAGACCGAGAGCGACCACUUCUUGACCUGUCAUCUACACUAGAGUCUUCAUUGUAUCGUUUGAUGCAACGCAAUAACUGCAACACGGUUUUAUUUAAGCGUCCACUCCAUAUUUAAAAAUGAGUAAAAUUCUAAAAGUAUACAUUUUUAUUUUCAUGAACAAUUCGAAAUUCGAAUUCAAUAAACUUUUUUGUGGCCAGCAUUCUAAAAGAAAAGUUUUUACUGUGUGACAAUACUUAUGACCUGACUAGUUAUAUUGCUUAUUAAAGUCCGCAUCAAAAGUAUUUCUAGUCUGUGUGUCCUGGGAAUAUCUCGAAUGGGGUGUAUCCAGUACUGGAGUGAAUAGACUGAUUAUAGGCCAUAAUAGCAUAGGUCCAUUAUGGAUGCAGCAUCCAUAAUGGACCUAUUAUGGAUGCUGCAUCCGUGUAUUUUUACUCGUAUUUAGCUAAUCUAUAUAUUUCUAGUAUUGUGGGAACCUUUCUAUGAGUCCCAUGGAGUUCGGGUUGUUAGGUGUGUGCGGACCGCGACGAGGAAGACACAGCGGAACAUACAUUGGCGCGUUGCUCUGGAUUCGACGAACAACGCUUCGUCAUUAGAGGCUGCGGAGAGGAAUGCGAUUGCAGUGGAACGUACGCCAAUUGAGGAGGUUAACAAAAUUAACUUCAAUGAAUGUUCAAGAUGUGGAGACAGGAGACACCAAGCAAAGGAUUGCAUAUACAAAGACUACGUGUGCAGUUCAUAUCAUGAAACCGGCCAUCUACGAAGAAUGUGCCCCAAAAAAGGGCUUAAGAACCAGGCAGAGGCAGCCGGGGGUUCACCACGCACCGGGCGCCGGGGGAACCGGGGUGCAGGCGGCAACAGGCGAUCGUGGCGCGGGCAGCGCGGUGCGGGACGAGGAGGCCGAGAGCGGGCUCCUUUGCACUUAUUAUACGAUCAAAACAACGAUGACACAUACAACAACUUCAAUAAUGAACAGGACGGGUGUGGAGAAGAAAAUGAGCCUAUGUACCAAAUGACAUUGAGUAAUUAUAAACCGGUGUGUAUUAAAGUUAAAGUCCAAAAUUGCUUGCUCAAGAUGGAGGUCGAUACUGGAUCGGCGUUAUCUUGUAUCAGCAAGAAUGUUUAUGAUAAAUAUUUUUCUAAGGAGAAGUUACAAGCAUGCUCAUUAAAUUUAAAAUUUUACGAUGGCUCAAUCAUUCGGCCUUUAGGGUUUAUAAACACUAUAGUGGAGUACCAAGGUGUUUCAAAAACGUUAGACUUGUAUGUCAUAGACAAAGGAACGACUAAUUUAUUGGGCCGACAAUGGUUAGCUGAAUUGAAUAUUCCUGUAAAAAUAUCAAAACCUACGAAUUUUAAAAUACAACACAGUAACUUUGUAACCGAGCACGCACGAGACUAUAAUAAAUUAAUUAAUGAAAUUGUUUCUAGACAUGAACCCUUGUUCGACGGCACAUUGGGUAAAUAUACGGGGGGCACAGCAGAGUUAAUCGUGCGGCCGGAUGCGGUGCCUAUUUACUGCCGCGCGCGACCGCUGCCGUAUGCGCUGCGCGAGCACGUCGAUGCCGAACUCGACGCGAUGCUGGCCGCCGGCGUCAUCAAACCGGUGGACCACUCCAACUGGGCCACGCCACUUGUCGUAGUACGCAAAGCGGACGGCGGUCUGAGAAUAUGUGCGGGCUAUAAGGUAACCCUUAAUAAAGUAUUAGCAAUCGACAGAUUUCCGGUUCCAAAAAUGGAGGACUUAUUCAGUAAUCUCAGCGGAAAUAAAUUUUUUACUAAGCUCGAUUUAUCUCAAGCUUAUAAUCAAAUAGUCUUAUCAGAACGUUCUAGCGAGUACACGGUUAUCAAUACACAUAGAGGAUUAUUUAAAUAUUCCCGCCUCGUCUACGGGUUAGCUUCGAGCCCAGGCAUUUUUCAAAAACUAAUGGUAAAUAUGUUUAAAAAUGUCCCAAAUGUAGUAGUUUUCUAUGAUGACAUAUUGAUUAGAAAUCAGGACCUAGACAGUCAUUUAAAGUCUAUAAAAGAAGUAUUAGAUAUAUUAGAAAGGUAUGGCUUAAAAAUUAAAAGGAGUAAGUGCGAGUUCAUGGUAACAGAAGUGAGGUAUUUAGGGUUCACAAUAGAUCAAAAUGGGGUUCGUGUAGACCCAGAGAAAGUCAAAUCAAUAGCAACAACGCCACACCCAAAUAACGUGACAGAAUUAAAAUCUUUCAUCGGUAUGGUAAACUUCUAUUCGAAGUUCAUACAAGAUUUGAGUGUACAUUUAUCACCUUUAUAUGCCCUUUUAAAAAAAGGUAAACACUGGAUGUGGGGAAAUGAACAGAAUGCUGCUUUCCUGAAUGUUAAAAAGUUUUUGUGUAGUACAAAAGCACUCGCACAUUUUGAUAUGUCUUUGGAGUCAGUGUUGACUGUGGAUGCGAGCGCGCGUGGUCUGGGUGCCGUGUUGGCGCAGCGCGGGCCAGGAGGUGAGGAGCGCGUCGUUGCAUACGCUUCACGCGCACUCACCACUCAUGAAUUACACUACAGUCAGAUUCAUAAGGAAGCAUUGGCGAUUGUUUUCGCGGUGGAAAAAUUCCAUCAAUACUUAUAUGGGAGAAAGUUCAUACUACGGACCGAUCACAAACUUCUGGUGAGCAUUUUCGGGCCUAACAUAGGUAUCCCGAGCGCGGCAGCUAGCCGCUUGCAGCGCUGGGCUAUCAAACUAUCAGCAUAUGACUUUGAAAUCGAGUACGUUAGGACAGAUAAAAAUGUAGCCGAUGCACUUUCACGGUUAAUCGAGUCUCAAAAAAAUGACGUAGCUUCCGAGGAAACAGACUUACCCGAGCAAACUUACUUACACUUCUCAACAGAAGCUCUGUUAGUAGAUUAUAAUGUUCUUAAAAAACAAACUAGUAGUGAUCCAAUCUUAAGUCGCGUCUUAAGUUAUAUAAGGGACGGAUGGCCCUUAGACAUAGAAAUUAAUGAAUUAAAACCAUAUUAUAAUAGGAAAAACGAACUUUACAUUGAAUUAGGAUGUAUAAUGUGGGGUCAUCGUGUGGUUAUACCCUCUUCAUGCAGAAACAAAAUAAUAACGGAGCUUCAUGAUCCGCAUAUGGGCAUAGUGAAAACAAAAUCGCCAGCACGUAGUUACGUUUGGUGGCCGGGAAUCGACGAAGCGCUCGAGAUGGAAUGUCGCGCUUGCACCGUGUGUGCUGCCGUCGCAGACGCACCUUCUACACACGCGCCCCGCUCGUGGCCCUGGCCCUCACGCCCCUGGUCUAGGUUACACUUAGACUUCUUAGGCCCCAUAGGUGGAGUAACUUAUCUAGUUGUAGUGGAUUCAUGCUCCAAAUGGAUAGAGGCAAUUAAAAUGUAGAGGACAACGGCACAAGCGGUUAUAUCGGUACUGCGGGACUUGUGGUCAAAAUUCGGCCUGCCAAAGCAAACGGUCAGUGACAAUGGACCGCCUUUCUCGAGCUCUGAUUUUCAGAAGUUUCUGAUUCAUAAUGGCAUAAAACAUAUUUAUUCAGCUCCCUAUCAUCCCGCCUCUAAUGGGGCCGCUGAAAAUGCAGUUAAAAUUUGUAAACGUGCGAUUAAAAAGGCAUUAAAACAGAAUUUAAACGUAGAUACAUCUGUGUAGAUUUUUAUUAGCCUACAGAAAUACAGAACAUGCAACUACCGGCGAUAGUCCAGCCAAUAUAUUACAGGGUCGAAGUCUCCGUAUGAGAUUAGAUAAUUUAAAACCAGAAAGGCAAUCUCGAGUUGUCGCGCAACAAGAGCGGAGCGAGCAAAACGCAGGGGGUGUGCAGCGACAACUCCAGCCGGGUACUAAGGUGUGGUAUCGGGAUUAUGAGGUUUGGAUAAAUGGGUACCUGGGACGAUCCUCAAGCAAUUAGGUAGUCGUGAUUACUGUGUACGAUCUAGUUUUGGAACCGAGAAUCACGGCACGUCGAUCAGCUAAAAUUAAGGGUUACAAAAAAUAUAGAUACAGUUGAUACUUUUGCGUCGAUUCGUAAAAAUAUAAGUCCCGAACUGAGACGCAAAAUUUAGACUUAAGAACACAAUCACGUAAGUCGCUAUCAUUUCCCAUGGCAAGUGGUGAGGAACCAGUGGCGGUGGUCAACGAUUCGGAGAAGAGCAGUAGCCCAAGCACGAAAAUUUUACGAAUUCGUAACGUUAACGUAUCGAGCCCUCGAUACGUUAACGUUACUCCGCAGCACGAACAACAUUUUGCAAACUAUCGUAAGCUCGAUUCGAAUACGUUAGUGACGUCAUCCUAACGUAAGUAGGGACGGUCCUUGUGGAAUGAAAUGAUUAUCAUAUGGAAUUAAUGAUUCGUUCGGAAACUUAACCAAGUUGUCAUUUUACUUUAAACUUUUGAAUUUACGGUUUAUUUAAUUAAAAAAUAAUUAACUAGUGCAUACAAAGUGAAGUACAUAUGAAGACAGAUAUUUAGGAACAUGAUAUGACAUUAAAAUCGAAGGAAUAAAAUAGUGUCUUGGAUAUCAAAACAAAAAAAUUCGGAUUCCGAACGAAUCCACUUGAUAUCGGCCAAGGCUAAGUUUGUUUAUGUUUGCUUUAGUUCUUGUGAAGAGCGAAAGUGUUUCAUUGUUUUUAUUAAUUUAGUACUUAUUUUUGAAGAUUUGCCUAUUUAAAUAUGAGAACUAGCCACUCACAGUAUUUAACAAUGGUGGAAUUUAUGGAAGCGUAAGUACUUAUAAAGUUCUAAUUUAUUAGAAAAUUUUUAUUAACUCAAGUGUUUCAGUCAAUAUUUAUGUAAUGUGCCAUACAAUUUAUAUUCCAGAAAUGGAGAUUUAUCAAAACCAUCAGGCGGUCCACGAGGUCGCAAUUUUAUACAGAUGAAGUGGAAAGAGUUAACGGCAUUACUAAAUAGCGAUUCUUCAGGAGAUCCUAAGAGUGAGGACAAAUGGCGUAAGGUAUGUCAAGUGUUAACUCAAGGGACGCUAUUUUUUUCUGCUGAAGCACUUGACUGAAUCUACUAACUUUGUUAUUAAUUUUCUUGUUUAGAAAUUCUAAUUUAAUGUUUGUUUGUUAAUUAAGGUGUGGAGUGAUUAUAAGAAUAAUUGCAAGAAAAAGUGUGCUAAAAUUAAUAGAGCUGCUAGUGGCACUGGUGGCGGACCAGCGCUCCAUUUAUUAUUGACUGACCAAGAACAAAGGGUCAUGCAGAUAAUUGGAGUGCAGGCAGCUACUGGCAUGGAGAUAAAAGAAGCUGGGUUUCCACAAGAAGAAAUUUCAACUGAGAUGCCCAAUACUCAAAUUAUUUUAAAGGAACCGGAAAUAGAUUGGAAUGCUCCUAGCACAAGCAGCCAACCAACAGUGGCUCCACCACCACCAACUGAGGCUCCCCCUCCAGUCAUUAACGAGGAAGAGGAGUGGAACCCUCCGCCGCAGAAAAAAAGAAAAAACAAUUUAACAAAAAUAUUUUUAGAUAUAGACAGAAAGGCAAGGGAGUAUGCUUCAGAGCGUGAUAGGUAUAUGAGGAAUUAGAAAGAGAUCGGUUGAGAGUUAGAGAAUUUGAGGUACGUGAAAGAGUAAGACAGAGAUGAAGAGCCUACGGCUGCAGGGUCAAUGGCUGGAAUUUAUGAAAGAGGCAAUGGAAGCUUUUGUGAGGUUUAUGGAGAGAAAGUCUUAAGUUAAGCUUAAUUACUAUAUUUUUUUACCAACUACUUUUAUUUUACCAAUUACUUAAUUAUAAUUACCAAUUACUAUAUUUUUUACAAAAUUAAUAAACAAAAGUAAAAUUA